GAUGAAGAACGCAGCGAAAUGCGAUAAGAAAUGUGAAUUGCAGAAUUCAGUGAAUCAUCGAAUCUUUGAACGCACAUUGCGCCCCUUGGUAUUCCGAGGGGCAUGCCUGUUCGAGCGUCAUUAUAACCCUCAAGCUCAGCUUGGUGUUGGGGCCUGCUGCACUGGCAGCCCUUAAAAUCAGUGGCGGCGCCAUCUGGCUCUAAGCGUAGUAAUUCUUCUCGCUAUGGAGUCCUGGUGGAUGCUUGCCAUCAACCCCCAAUUUUUCUAUGGUUGACCUCGGAUCAGGUAGGGAUACCCGCUGAACUUAAGCAUAUCAAUAAGCGGAGGA
rnacentral:misc_RNA from 1 species